GAAUGGAGGUUGUCCAUGGUGUGUUCAUUUUAUUUACGAUGAGUAUUGCAUGGCCAAUCUCCUUUCGGUAC
rnacentral:pre_miRNA from 1 species